rnacentral:lncRNA from 1 species
CAAACAUAGGGACCACUAGGUGAAGGAAAAUUAGCAAGUCUCUCUCCUCAGUUAAAUGUUCUCUGGACCACAUUUGACUGGGCAUUCAAAUGUAAAGGAAGACAAUUAAAGAACAGACAGAGUCUUGCUCUGUCGCCAGGUUGGAGUGCAGCACCACGAUCUCGGCUCACUGCCACCUCCGCCUCCUGGGUUCAAGCGAUUCGUCUGCCUCAGCCUCCCAAAGAUCCCAGACCACCACUCAUGAUGCCAGGCUGGAGGAAGUAGCAGGCUAGAGGAAUUCAGGACAGAUGAGUCAGGAAAGAGGACCCAAUGCAGAGCUCACAUCCCACCUUCCUCUCCCAUGGCAAAGCACUGACAAACCCCUGCCAAAGGUGAAGCUCAGCUGCAAAGCAGUGUGGAGCUGGACCCAGGAUAGAUUCACCCGGAGCUCACCACCGCAGGGAAUGCUGCACUUUGACCAGGCAGAAUGUAUCCUCCAUGCCCACAGAGCAUGUGCCUGGGGUUGAAUCUCACUGUAUCUCACCCCAGUUCCUCAUGAUGGGCCCCAAACCUCUUCUUUUAUAGUAAUAAAGAAAACACAC